rnacentral:rRNA from 1 species
GUAACCCGCAAGGGAGCCAGCCGCCGAAGGUGGGGUAGAUGAUUGGGGUGAAGUCGUAACAAGGUAGCCGUAUCGGAAGGUGCGGCUGGAUCACCUCCUUU